UGAAUCUCUCUCAUCUCUCUCUCUGUAGUUUAUGCCAGCGAGUCCAGCUCUCCAGGGGCCCUAUAUCCCUCCAUACACUCACAUGCAGACCACCACCGUCUCAGUAGAGGAGAACAGUCCACAACCUCAGGUGGAAUCGUCCAGUGAUCAUUCACCUUAUACCUAUCAGCAGGCCAAGUGAUGAAGAGUGUUGUCGGGGUUUGAGAGAGAAGGAGACGACUGCUAAAUCAAUAACAGCUUCCUUUGAAGGACCCGCUCUACCGAUGAAUCAACAUUUUGCACAGGUUCUACGAUGAGUUCCUCCGUUUUUAUAAUAAAACUACUUCAACUAUUUUGGUAUAAGUUCCAUUAGGUGCAAAUCAAGGAUUCAUUUCAUCAGAGGAUGCUAACAAAGAAAAAACAAAAUGGGAAGAAAAAGAAAAGUUUUAUUUUACUAAGGAAACGACGCUUAUUUUUUACCAAGGAUCGUCACAUAGAUGCAGGAACUUCAUCAUGCGACUCGACGUGCAUGGAGAUUCUUCUUAUUUUUAUGAUUUCAGAUUUGUUUUCUCUCUUUCUCUCUCUUCUUUUGUACUGAAACAGACGUUCGUUUUUAGAGAUUUAUCAGCCGGACAUCCUGAGAAAGAUGCGUUUGUGCUUGCGGUGUGAGUGUCGUUGAUGUGUUUUUGUCGUGUGCUUCGUCUUCGGUCUGACCGAUCUGUCCAUCUUAUACGAUUUGCCUUAAACUCUUUCCCGUACAGUAGCCGAAGAAAAGACGUCCGGCUGCUGCCUUGUAAAUCAGCUGAAUAGGGCUUUUUUAGCAUCUCGCAAAGGAACAUCGCGCUUGGAUUUCGGUGUUUUGCUUUUUCCGAUCUUUUAGAGUACAAACCGUUUCGAGUGAUAACAUUGAUGGAGUUUUAAUAGGAUUUAAUGUUUUUAUAAUCAGAGGUGACGAUGAGCCUUUGGUUGUUUGAAUGUGGUAGAAAUUCUGCUGAACGAUCACAUUUUUGAUAACUGCCUUUUCGUUUAUAAAUCUUGGUGUUGUAGUUUAGCUUUAGAUGAGCUCCUGUGGGAGGGGGAGGAGCUUUGUCUUGUAUUCUAAUGAGGGGGCGGAGGGAGGCGUGGCCUGUCAGAUCGACUAUAGUUCAGAGUAAAACCUUACUUCACCAAAGACAGUCAGCAAGCGGAUAGUGCGGAUGUGACGUCAUAUUCUCUUGAGGCGGGCCACGCUGAGACUUUAUAACAGACUAGGUUGCAGUUGUGGAGAAUGUGCCUUCUUUGUACAUAUGCAUUCAGCUGUCUUUAGUUGGCGAGGUGCGGACACCGAUUUGAAGGACGAUUUGGAUCCAGCAAGUGCCACAAACUAAACGAAAACAUCACUACAGAGCGGAGACAACUGAAACUAAAACAGGGAAUGAGGACAGGUUGAAACGACGGCUCCGUUCCAAAUCCCUCGUGAGCUGCCUACAUAGUUCAGUAAUUCUACAUGAUCCACAUGCAUCAUGCAAAUAGAUUUCAGUGGAGCUUUCCAUUUGAAUAUUAGCAGUAAAAUUACAGUACGAAGCACAGAAAAAUAUUAGUUGGUUUUCAUUAGAAUUGAACUAUUUUUAGCUGCUUUUCUGUUUUGAAUAAAUUAUCUUUAUAUCCAACAGUUUUUGGAUGUAUUUUUUCACCCAAAAUGCAUCAUGAAUUUGCCUUCUAAGUGAAGGAUAUGUGUGAUGCUUCCUUAGAAUGUGACAAAAGUAGGUAUCAUACUGCCUAAGUACCGUAUUUUGCGGAAAAUAAGUCACUAUAAGUCACACCGGGUCAAAAUUGCAUUGUUGAGAGAAAACAAACACAGAUAAGUUGCAGUUUUAUUAUUACAUUCAGAAAUAAUGUAAAAUACAGGUGCAUUAUAUAAUUGCAUUAUAUAAGUUGUUUUGGUAUAUAUAAGUCACACCGGGGCAAAAUUGAGAAAAAAGACUCGGAUAAGUUGCAAUUUUAUUACAUUCAGAAAGAAUGUAAACUACAGAUAAAAUUAACAUUUACAAACAUAAACACUAUAAGCAUGUGUUUUAGUUCCCCUCGCUGUACAAUAAAUCUUUUAAAUGUAAUGUUAUUUAGAACAGGAAUGAAAAUAAAACAAAUUAUAGCUGCAUUCAUUAUAAACAUCAGACAUGUAACUCCAACCAACAUGUUUGCAUGCUUGAUGUUAAUAAUUGCAUCAUAUAAAUUGUUUAUAUAUAUAUAUAUAUAUAUAUAUAUAUGCAACAUUUUUCAGGUAAUAAAAAAAAUUAGAUUUUCCAGAAAAUACAGUUGGCAGCUCACAAGGUUUUAGGACACAGCCUUUGAAAUAAUAAUCGCAUCCAUUACAGGAAAAUGUUUUUAUUCUCUUUUAAACUCACAAUAUAGUUUAUUAAGGCUUUAUUCAUUAAUUUGUCUUCCAAAAGACUGUGUUUUUGACCUGGUGGGUCUUGUUGACCGGUUAUCUACCUCAGAGUUUUGUUGUCCUCUGUUUUGAUUGGUCGGGCAGCAGGUUCAGCCCGCCCCUCCAGACCAAACGGCCAGCUCUGGAGCUGCCCACUUACACUUGAUUUCUUUCAGGUUUUUUUGUUUUGAAAUACUUUAAUCCUCUUCUUCUUCUUCAAACAGAAAAGUUUUCUUUUAUUAUUUUUAUCGUUAUAAGGAAAGUUGUGCAUUGAAUGUGUCGUUUUAGUGUUGUUUAGCAUUCAGAUUCAUCGUUUCGAAAGCAAAAAAACUGCUGCUUUUCAUCACAAGAUAUUCCAGUAGUCCAUAGGAAGUAGAGAAGAAAGUGUGCACGCGAGAGACGGAGCCAAUGAGAAACAGCGAUGCUGAAAGUUGCGGUUUUCCCGACACAUCACUGUUGUAUGGAAGCUCGUUUCUGCCACAGAAUAAAAAUUAAAAAAAG